GGAUCAGAAUGACGGUCGUGCCUUGGUACGUACUGGCAUUAUUGGUUUCUCCCUUCUGACGAACCAUGAUGUCAUUAAUUUGGUGUCUUGGGGAAUCAGGGCUGUUACUUUGAAAAAAUUAGAGUGUUUAAAGCAGGCUCGCGCUUGAAUACAUUAGCAUGGAAUAAUGAAAUAGGACGUUUGAUUCUAUUUUGUUGGUUUCUAGGAUCGACGUA
rnacentral:rRNA from 1 species